rnacentral:lncRNA from 1 species
AUGUCAACUGCGACGCCUUCAGGUGCAAGAAGUUCGUGCUGCCGUCGCCGCCACCUCCUCCGCCUUCACCACCGCCACCAACCCCGUCUCCUCCGCCACCUUCACCACCGCCGCCGUCGCCUCCUCCACCAACCCCGUCUCCUCCACCACCUUCACCUCCACCCCCGUCUCCAUCACCCCCACCUCCGUACUACGAGGUCUCACCUGAGGAACGGUACCUUUCGCCGCCACCUCCAGCGUACCAAGAGCC